rnacentral:lncRNA from 1 species
AGUGGAGAUGAGGAUGCUUCGUUGGAUGUGUGGGCACACGAGAAAGGAUAAGAUUAGGAAUAAGGAUAUCCGAGGUAAAGUAGGAGUAGCCGAAAUUGAAGGAAAGAGGAGAGAAAAUCGGUUACGGUGGUUUGGACAUGUGCAAAGAAGGCCUACUGACGCUCCGGUUCGAAGAUGUGACCACGGGACAGAGGUUCAGGGCCGAAGGGGUAGAGGAAGACCUAGGAAAACUUUGGAACAGACCCUAAGAAAAGACUUAGAGUACUUGGAUCUAACGGAGGACAUGACACAAAACCGAGCGCAAUGGCGUUCUAGGAUUCAUAUAGCCGACCCCACUUAGUGGGAAAAGGCUUUGUUGUUGUUGUUGUUGUAAUCUUCCAAUAUGUCCGAAAAUCUUAUUUUAAUAUGGCUGUUUAAUUUAAUUAACCAUAUUAAUUCAAUUAAAAUAAUAAAUUAUGUUUGGCCUAUGACCUUUUGGCCCCCUCGGUUGGAGUUGGUUUUUUGUCACAAGGCUAUGUUUGGCCUAUGGUCCUUUGGUCCCUUCAGUUGGAGAUGGUAUAAAAUAUGGCCUGACACUAUUCAUUAAAAUAUAAUUUCUUGGAGGGCUAUAUGGCUAAAGAGAGCCCUCUGGCCCUCCUUCUGUUGGAGAUGGCCUUACGGUUUGGCUAGAAAAAGGGUAUAGUUGUGUUUUGAAAAAAAAAAAAAAAAACUGCUUAUGCUAUGCUUUGAUAAUCAGAAGCUGUGAAAUAAAGCAGCAAAGUAUAAAACAGCUGUGAUUGUAAAACAGCUGUUAUAGUAUUUAGUAAACUUUUAUGUAAAACAGUUAUGCUUGUAUAAAAUGACCAAAAAUAACAUAAUACUCGAUGUGCUAUUAACUAAGUGCUUGGAGAAUAAAGGUCAAUUAAUUUUUUAUGAACAAAAAAUAAAGGUCAAUUAUUUAUUACACUUUGUUUUCUUUGAAAAUAGGGGCAAUUUGAUUUCACCGCCUAAUAUCUCCAACUCUUUUAUUAAACAUUCAUCGCUUUUCAAGUUUUAUUUUGUUUUAUUUUUUUUUCAAAAUCGCUUUUCAAGUUUUGAUUAGACUACAUUUGGUGGCAUUUUGCAUUCUCCAAUUAUCCUUUCAUUCUUUUCUCAUGUAUUUUACGUGGAUUAAAUUUUAUCUGUUAUAAAGAUAAAAUAUCAGGGAUAAUCUUACAACUUAAAUUUAAAAAUUAGAGAUAUAUACACAAGAAAAAAUGAAAAAUGUACACGAACCCAUGCCGAAAAAACACAAUCAGCAUACUUGUGACGACCCGUCCCUAAUUUUCCAUGUAAUUUCCUUCCUGAGUAUGUAAAAUGACAUUUAUGCCCUUGUUGGCCAAGUGAAGUGGACGUAGUUAUUCAGUUUUAAAUUAUUUUUCUCGAUAUCGAAAUUAAUUAGUACUCGUUGUUACGAAUGCGUGAGCGUGAGUUAGACCUGAAUCAGAGUUGUAACGAAAAAGUCACAUUUAGUUAAAGUGCGUUAACAAUGGGUAGAAUUGUAUACUCGUGUGCUAAUUAUUCAGUGUUGGAAACAUUGUUUUAGAUAGGGUGAGUUAGAUUUUCACAUAUUUUAUGUGCAUUUUAUAUUGUACAAAUCUUAUCAUCUUCUCUCUUUAAUUUUGUCCCAUGCCCUAUUCUCCCUCACCAACCAAUCAAUCACUCUCCUCAUUUCCCUCACCAAUCAGGCAGAUUCCCUCUCUCUUUUGUCCUAUCAAACUCAGUCUCUCUCUCUCUUCUUCUUCUCUCCCUCACCCGUAGCUCUCUAUCAUCUCUGCAACAACCAUACACCAUC